CAAAAAAUCAAUAUUGACCGUCAAUUUGCUAAAAAAAAAUGGAAAGUCAUUCGAAUCUUCUAUGCCGAAAGCUCAUCUUCAUCAAACUUCCAUUUCUAGAAUCGAUGAUCGAUUUCUGAAGCGCUAUAACCGUCCUCACCCUAACCGAUCUAAAGAGAGUACAACAAUUCGAGUGGAUCAGAUAGUUGAUAACCUGGCGGGUAAAUAUCUGUCAUCUCCGAUCAGAUCCGAUUUGACUCAGCAAAAGAUCGAAGAUUUUUUCAAAUAGCCAACAAAACAAAUCAAGUGUAUAGAUAUUGGAUCCGACAUAUGACCAGCUCGUAACUGAUAGCCAUCUGAAACCUUACUCUCAUAUUACAGACAAAAAGCACCUCAAAAUUGUUUACCAUCUUGUCAGAGAAAAUGAUUUCCGUUGUCUCACCGAAUUGUUCACUUUAUUGUUUCCAGGUGUGAAAAAACUUUGACUUGGAUCCACGUUUCAGUUUUGUACGCCUUGAUAUCGGACAUGUAUGAUAACUUCAGUGUAGGCUUCAUUUUCUAUGCCUAAUUUUUUUGCAAGGUGUUAGGUUGAAUGGGUCGAGUAGAUAGUAUAUAUAGCAAAAGGAAAAGAUUUGGUGAGAAUAAAGAAAGAUAUUAAAUAUUUUAUUUAAAAAAUUGUUAGUAAGAUGUGCCUUGCGAGUCAGGUUUUGCUAUAAAUUAGGAAUAUAUUAUUUUUGGAUUCAUUAUGGAAAUUUAACUUAAUUAUUAAACUUCAAAGGAAUGAAAUAUAUUGGUGGUUAGUGUAAUUAAUGACGUAUGUUGCGUUAUUGUUGAGAGAAUAUGCUUAGAAAAUAUGGACCUGUUACUGACUUGAUAGAUUUUUGGUAAUCCAUUUCGCAAGGCAUAUCUUUAUUUGCAUAUUCGGUUGUUUGUGUGAGACAUUUUCUAUUAGUGAUAAGAUCAAUAAACAAAAUUAUUAACGAUUAAUAGUAUUAAGUCGGAAAAUUGAUAGACAAUAUAGGGUUUAUGGUUUGAAUUAUGGAAAAUUCAAAGUUCCAUAAUUCGUUUGUGCUCAUCUAAUUAUUAUUAUUAUUAUUAUUCUAUUGUAAAUGGAAAUGUAUAAUAGGCAAUAAUAUAUUCACGGAUCAAUAUGGGGUUUAUGGUUUGUUUUUGCAUGGUAAACAUUAUAUUGAGGCAACAUUUGUAAAAAAAGUUCUAGGGUUUAUGGAUUCACUUGAAAUUACGCGUUUAUUGAUUCGUGUGCUAGGUAUACGAUAUACAAUGGGGCAGUCCGUUUUUUUUUAAGUUCAUGCUGAUCAGAUGAUAAUUUUAAUAUCAAAUUGUUAUUCAAUGGACUUGGUAUGCGAUGAACAUCCUAUCAAUGUUUUAGAGUUUAGGGAUACAAUACUAAUAAUUUAUUAUUCUUUAGGGAAAAAGAAAUAUAUAUAUAUUAUAUAUAUUUAUAUAAAGUAUGGUUUGCUCUCUCCUUAGAGAGACACCUAGGAUCCACGUAGAUAAGUCAUUUCAUAUCGUAAUGACACGUGUCCAUAAGGCAAACCGCACGUUUCAUUAAACUUCAACAUUUUCGGUUUCGUUCUUUAGUGUGUUUAUGGGCUGUGAGAUUAGAAGUGUUUCCGGCCCAACGAUAAUGGGCUCCGUCUAUCCCUAUUACGGCUGCAGCGAGAAAACGAAAUUCAUCGCUCUUCUUCGUGCGACGGCUAGGCGUGACUUUUGCGAUUCGUCUCCCGACCUGCAAGGGUUUGAUUAAUGGCUUCGUGUUAAAUCCUAUUGACUCUCCUCCACGAUUCGUCUUCAAUGCUUUGCUUAGAUCUGAAAGAUGGUGUGUAAACAGUAUAAAUAGAUGUGAGUAUUUCUCUUCUUGAACUCAUCUUCUCUUCUUAUCUCUUAAAUCAUACUAAUUCAUUGUUUUAUGGCUAACUUGUUCGAGGGUUUCUCUUGAAUCGUUUCAUCUCCGCGGCGGCAAUUUUGGCAAAUAACGAUGCUAACUCCCGAUAACGCCGAGGUGUCCGGUUGUUGCUUGAGCUUCCACCUACACAAGCAGUGGAGCUUUUCCAUUUAACUGAUUCAUAGUCGUCAUAUUUUCAAGCAUUGGGUAACGAAUCGGUGGAGAGAUAUCGAACCAACCGCUUCCUGAUCUCUGCAUCGAUAGUAUCGCAAAGAACCUCACCGGAUUGUGCCCACAUUCAGAUCAGUUUCAAAGUUAGAAAAAAAUAAACAAACAAAGAAACAAGGAGAGUUACUUACCUAUUGAAAGUCUCUGGCUUUGGGUAAUGAAUCCGAGUAGUGAUACGAGUUCUAACUCGAACAAGUUGUGAGGUUUGGACACUAAACUGUUUUAAGCAGACGGAGCAAAUGUAGAGACUACAGACCAUUGCAAACACCAAAACUAUCAUCUUUAAGAACA